AUACAGAGGGUGCGAGCGUUAAUCGGAAUUACUGGGCGUAAAGCGCGCGUAGGCGGUCUAUUAAGUCAGAUGUGAAAUCCCAGGGCUCAACCUUGGAACUGCAUCUGAUACUGGUAGACUAGAGUUUUGGAGAGGGAAGUAGAAUUUCAGGUGUAGCGGUGAAAUGCAUAGAGAUCUGAAGGAAUACCAGUGGCGAAGGCGACUUCCUGGCCAAAAACUGACGCUGAGGUGCGAAAGCGUGGGUAGCAAACGGGAAUAGAAACCCUAGUAGUCC
rnacentral:rRNA from 1 species